rnacentral:rRNA from 1 species
AGUGAACGCUGGCGGUAGGCCUAACACAUGCAAGUCGAACGGCAGCACAGUAAGAGCUUGCUCUUACGGGUGGCGAGUGGCGGACGGGUGAGGUAUACAUCGGAAUCUACUUUUUCGUGGGGGAUAACGUAGGGAAACUUACGCUAAUACCGCAUACGACCUACGGGUGAAAGCAGGGGAUCUUCGGACCUUGCGCGAUUGAAUGAGCCGAUGUCGGAUUAGCUAGUUGGCGGGGUAAAGGCCCACCAAGGCGACGAUCCGUAGCUGGUCUGAGAGGAUGAUCAGCCACACUGGAACUGAGACACGGUCCAGACUCCUACGGGAGGCAGCAGUGGGGAAUAUUGGACAAUGGGCGCAAGCCUGAUCCAGCCAUACCGCGUGGGUGAAGAAGGCCUUCGGGUUGUAAAGCCCUUUUGUUGGGAAAGAAAAGCAGCAGGUUAAUACCCCGCUGUCCUGACGGUACCCAAAGAAUAAGCACCGGCUAACUUCGUG